UACGUAGGGGGCUAGCGUUGUCCGGAAUCAUUGGGCGUAAAGCGCGUGUAGGCGGUCCGGUAAGUCCGCUGUGAAAGUCGGGGGCUCAACCCUCGGAUGCCGGUGGAUACUGUCGGGCUUGAGUACGGAAGAGGCGAGUGGAAUUCCCGGUGUAGCGGUGAAAUGCGCAGAUAUCGGGAAGAACACCCGUGGCGAAGGCGGCUCUCUGGGACGGUACUGACGCUGAGACGCGAAAGCGUGGGGAGCGAACAGG
rnacentral:rRNA from 1 species